AUGGAGGAUGCACUGGGCAAUGUCUUAAAGCCCCAGUUAACUGGGGGUGCAGUGAGGAGCUGUGGAGGGUUUCAUGAGCUGGUGCUGCCCCAGAUGCAGGGUCGACACCACCCUUCUGUGUCUGUUCCCCUAUGCUUAGCAUCCUGUGUGACCCGGAGUGGAUGCCCCGUGUGCAUGAUGAUGCUGGGUAGGUCAGCCUCGUGUGCUGCAGGCCGCACGACAGCAGGGAAGGCCACAGGCCUGGCUCGACAACUCGCCAUUGCUGCCCAGCUGCCUUGCCAUGAAGUUCCCAAAUCUGAAAGCCGUUCAUCAAAAGUGCAGAAUAAUAUUCUGUACUUACAUGUGACUUUAGUUAAUAAUCUUCGCUUGUCUACUCUUUAAAUAUCUGUAGAUUAGAAAGGUGUUUUUGGUCAAAAGUAAAAAUCUAACCCGGCAUUUCGCAUGGCACGUUGGCGUUCCUGUCUCAUUUGUGUUGCUGUGAGGUGCUGGGAUCUGCGUCACUGUGUGUCUGGGGGCAUGGAGACUGCUGGCCCCAGGACUUCUUUGCCAUUGUUCUAUUAAAAAUUCCUGACAUUCCCAGAACACUGCAGGGGUUUCUCACCCCUGUCAUGGGUUUUCUAAAGGCUGAUUCCAGGCUGGGUCCAGGCACUUUUGUCCAGACGCAAAGAGGUGGAACCUGCCAAGCCUCCCAGGGCCCCUUGGAGGCAGGAGGCCCCUCUCUGGCAGGCUCCAAGUGCCUCCCCGCCACCACCACCAUUAUGCAGCCUGGAGUGGG
rnacentral:lncRNA from 1 species